rnacentral:rRNA from 1 species
AGAUGUGUAUAAGAGACAGGUUAUGGCUAGGGGGUUAUUGCAACUUACCAACCCAUGGCAAACUAAGAAUACCAUCAAGUUGCUCCUCGGGAGACAGACAUCGGGUGCUAACGUCCGGUGUCAAGAGGGAAACAACCCAGACCGCCAGCUAAGGUCCCAAAUGAUAGAUUAAGUGGUAAACGAAGUGGGAAGGCACAGACAGCCAGGAUGUUGGCUUAGAAGCAGCCAUCAUUUAAAGAAAGCGUAAUAGCUCACUGGUCGAGUCUUCCUGCGCGGAAGAUGUAACGGGGCUCAAAUCUAUAACCGAAGCUGCGGAUAUACUUUUGUAUAUGGUAGGGGAGCGUUCUGUAAGCCUGUGAAGGUGACUUGUAAAGGUUGCUGGAGGUAUCAGAAGUGCGAAUGUUGACAUGAGUAGCGAUAAAGCGGGUGAAAAGCCCGCUCGCCGAAAGCCCAAGGUUUCCUACGCAACGUUCAUCGGCGUAGGGUGAGUCGGCCCCUAAGGCGAGGCAGAAAUGCGUAGUCGAUGGGAAACAGGUUAAUAUUCCUGUACUUUGAUUCAAUGCGAUGUGGGGACGGAGAAGGUUAGGUUAGCAAACUGUUGGAAUAGUUUGUUUAAGCCAGUAGGUGGAAAGAGUAGGCAAAUCCGCUCUUUCUUAACACCGAGACGUGAUGACGAGUGUCUACGGACAUGAAGUGACCAAUACC